UCCCAGUCGUGGCCCGGUUUGCUGUAGGUUUUUGCGUUGGGUGUUUGUGUUUCUUCAGCGUCCUGCUUCUCAUCGGGUGCUGACUGUAUUCAGUGUGUCUGUUUUAUACAAUUCGGUUGGUUGUGGCCAACAACUAAUUAGAAAAACCACCUGCUUCCCUCGUGUGAACUGUCAAUGGUCGACUAAACAAGUUUGCUGUGUAGUGUAAAAUCUUGUCGAUAAUUCUAAUUACUGCAACCAUUGCACAGCAUUUUAUAUGACGUCACUUCAAGGAAAUCUGGCCCAAUCUCGUAACCCAGUCCCUGCGUCCCAAUGAGUCCCAGUCAGAUGGGAAUGUGUAAUGAGAUGUUACAGUAAAGGGGUUUCGCUUCUCUCAAAACGAAAGCUAUAUAGCCUACUAUCCGCUACGAGGAGCGGCACAGCGCAGCCAUCCAAUGUGGUGCAGCCAGUCGCUCAUUGGAUAGGAAACAGCUUUCUAUUCUGGGGAAACCGAUCCCCAUCCCUUUAUAAAGUAGAGUAGAGAGGCUUCCGAGUCAAUUCAAAUCUAGUCUCGCAAAGCCAGACCAUACUACAGCAAUCAAAUCCAAACCAUGGGGCUACUAACAGGAGCGGCACUAGCAACAGUCUGUGGAGGCGGGGCCGUGUUUGCGGCUCCGUUUGUCCUGGGGGUCGUUGGGUUCACCUCGGCAGGGAUCGCGGCGGGGUCCAUUGCCUCAAGUCUGAUGUCGACAGCUGCCGUCGCCAACGGAGGCGGGGUUGCAGUAGGCAGUAUGGUGGCUUUGCUGCAGUCAGCAGGUGUGCUUGGUCUUGGAGCAGCUGCUACUACUGCAACCGCUGCUACUGGAGGAACAGUGGGAGCUAUAGUGGGGGCUAUACUUAUCUAAUUUCAUCUGGAUCCGAAUGUGACAUGCUCUUUUUCCAACCAACUUGUUAUUGAGGUGUUUUUGAAGAAUUGUGACUUCGCAAUUCAAAUAAAUCUUCAUGUUUCCCCAUUUCCUUAGCAUCAUUGCUAACUGUGGAAUCAGGAUAGUGACUGUAUAACCGCAAUGACCUAGUCAAAUAAUAUUCUGAAGGUAUAUGUGUUUCUUGCUGCUCUGUGCCUACACAAUGUAAUCAUCAAAACUAAAUUCAAUAAAAACUUUUAAGCAAA